rnacentral:tRNA from 1 species
CCGACCUUAGCUCAAUUGGUAGAGCGGAGGACUGUAGUCGGGUGAAUCUUACAGUUAAAUCCUUAGGUCGCUGGUUCGAAUCCGGCAGGUCGGA